CCAGCACCCCGAGUGGUCGGGACGAUUAUUGGGCCUAAAGCAUCCGUAGCCGGUUUUACAAGUCCUCCGUUAAAUCCAACUGCUUAACAGAUGGGCCGCGGAGGAUACUAUAAGACUAGGAGGCAGGAGAGGCAAGCGGUACUCAGUGGGUAGGGGUAAAAUCCGUUGAUCCAUUGAAGACCACCAGUGGCGAAGGCGGCUUGCCAGAAUGCGCUCGACGGUGAGGGAUGAAAGCUGGGGGGAGCAAACCGGAUUAGAUACCCGGGUAGUCCCAGCUGUAAACGAUGCAGACUCGGUGAUGGACUAGCUUUAUGCUAGUCCAGUGCCGCAGGGAAGCCGUUAAGUCUGCCGCCUGGGUAGUACGGUCGCAAGACUG
rnacentral:rRNA from 1 species